CUUUAUUUACUCUGCAACAAUUGUGCAAAGUAGUAGUGGAUGCGGCACUUUUUAGCAUCCACUGACUUAAUUUUGUUUUUUGGCGUUUGGUUCAAUUUUGUGUUUUUGGCAAUGUUGAUGUGUUAACAUUAGAAAAUACCCUGAGAUUUUGGAUUCUUCAGUGGUUGGCACGGUUUCAUUGUGGCGAUCACGGGUGUUGAAAGCGUUGGUAAAGGUCUAAUUCGUGGCGGAACUGGUUUUGUUACUUUCCCCGUGAAAUAUCAAUGUGUUGUAUUUCGACCUUUCAAAGGUGAAAUUUUGGAAGCCGUUGUAACCUUGGUUAACAAGAUUGGAUUUCUUGCUGAAUGCUGAAGCAGGGCCAGGGCAGAUUUUUGUUUCAAACCACGUCAGUUGAUACCAGAUAACAUGGAGUUUCAGUCAGGAGAUGUGCCAAACUACACAACUUCUGAUGGCUCCGUCAAAUUUCAGAAGGAAAGUGAAGUUAGAUUGAAAAUCAUUGGAACUCGUGUUGACGCCACAGAAAUGGUGCUUUGCUGGAGAUUGCAAGACUUUGUUACAGUGGUCUUUCUGAAUAUUUUCUUCAGCGGUACUGAUUAUCUGGACAAUCAAGCUGAUGAUUUUGUGUUGCGGGGCUGACCCAGAUUUGUCUUUCCUUUUGCAAAUAAAAUGUCUUCAAGUUACAAUUAAAAAAAUAUCUUCAAAUUGUUUGCAGGUUAAUGAUGUUUUCUUUGCUUAAAUUAUUCUUUCGGAGAAAUCAUAAUAGGAGUAUCAAUAUAAUAUGCACGAACAU